GGGUCAAUGAUGAAACUUUUGUAUGGUCUCUAAAGAGAUGAUGACUUAAAUGUCAUACUCAGAAGGAUUAUGCUGAGACCC
rnacentral:snoRNA from 1 species